UACGUAGGGUGCGAGCGUUGUCCGGAAUUAUUGGGCGUAAAGGGCUCGUAGGCGGUCUGUUGCGUCGGUAGUGAAAACUCAGGGCUUAACCCUGAGCCUGCUUCCGAUACGGGCAGACUAGAGGUAUGCAGGGGAGAACGGAAUUCCUGGUGUAGCGGUGAAAUGCGCAGAUAUCAGGAGGAACACCGGUGGCGAAGGCGGUUCUCUGGGCAUUACCUGACGCUGAGGAGCGAAAGCAUGGGGAGCGAACAGG
rnacentral:rRNA from 1 species